ACGAACGCUGGCGGCGUGCCUAAUACAUGCAAGUCGAACGAACGGAGGAAGAGCUUGCUCUUCCAAAGUUAGUGGCGGACGGGUGAGUAACACGUGGGCAACCUGCCUGUAAGUUGGGGAUAACUCCGGGAAACCGGGGCUAAUACCGAAUGAUAGAGUGUGGCGCAUGCCACGCUCUUGAAAGAUGGUUUCGGCUAUCGCUUACAGAUGGGCCCGCGGUGCAUUAGCUAGUUGGUAGGGUAAUGGCCUACCAAGGCAACGAUGCAUAGCCGACCUGAGAGGGUGAUCGGCCACACUGGGACUGAGACACGGCCCAGACUCCUACGGGAGGCAGCAGUAGGGAAUCUUCCGCAAUGGACGAAAGUCUGACGGAGCAACGCCGCGUGUAUGAAGAAGGUUUUCGGAUCGUAAAGUACUGUUGUUAGAGAAGAACAAGGAUAAGAGUAACUGCUUGUCCCUUGACGGUAUCUAACC
rnacentral:rRNA from 1 species